rnacentral:rRNA from 1 species
UUAGUGGCGGACGGGUGAGUAACGCGUGGAAAACCUGCCGUAUACUGGGGGAUAACACUUAGAAAUAGGUGCUAAUACCGCAUAAGCGCACAGCUUCGCAUGAAGCGGUGUGAAAAACUCUGGUGGUAUACGAUGGUUCCGCGUCUGAUUAGCUAGUUGGUGGGGUAAUGGCCUACCAAGGCAACGAUCAGUAGCCGGCCUGGGAGGGUGAACGGCCACAUUGGGACUGAGACACGGCCCAAAUUCCUACGGAAGGCAGCAG